rnacentral:lncRNA from 1 species
AGUUUCACUCUUUUGACUCUUUUUCUACUCAAAUUUUCUGAGCAUUUUAUAUCUGUUAGAGUCUUAGGUCUCGGCAAGUGCAUUUUUCUCUUUUGUUUUUCUUUUCUUUUCUUUUUUUUCUUUCUUUUUUUCUUUUAAAGAAAAUACAUACUAUUUUUCUUUUUGUAUGAUCUCAUCUUAUGCACUUGCCUUCUCUUUCAAGAUUUCCACCCCAAACUUAGUUUUAUUGCACAUCUUACAAUUCACACAAUCAUACCGAGUUAUGACACAAAAGGAAAUGGAUGAUUAAAAGUUAACAGGGGGUUUAUGAUGAAUAAUGCUUAAACGUUAACAUGGGGUUUACAAUGAACAAAAUGGCUAAAGCUCAACGGGGUUUACGAAGGGAAACAUACAUAUAGGGAUGGCUAGAAAGGCCCUGGCUAAACAAACAACUUGCCU